rnacentral:rRNA from 1 species
UGGGGGAUAUUGCGCAAUGGGGGAAACCCUGACGCAGCAACGCCGCGUGAAGGAAGAAGGUUUUCGGAUUGUAAACUUCUUUUAUUAAGGACGAAGAAGUGACGGUACUUAAUGAAUAAGCUCCGGCUAACUACGUGCCAGCAGCCGCGGUAAUACGUAGGGAGCGAGCGUUGUCCGGAUUUACUGGGUGUAAAGGGUGCGUAGGCGGCUAAUCAAGUCAGGUGUGAAAUACAUGGGCUUAACUCAUGGGCUGCACUUGAAACUGAAUAGCUUGAGUGAAGUAGAGGCAGGCGGAAUUCCCGGUGUAGCGGUGAAAUGCGUAGAGAUCGGGAGGAACACCAGUGGCGAAGGCGGCUUGCUGGGCUUUAACUGACGCUGAGGCACGAAAGCGUGGGGAGCAAACAGG